rnacentral:rRNA from 1 species
UACGUAGGGCGCAAGCGUUGUCCGGAAUUAUUGGGCGUAAAGAGCUCGUAGGCGGUCUGUUGCGUCUGCUGUGAAAACCCGGGGCUUAACCCCUGGCUGGCAGUGGAUACGGACAGACUAGAGGUAGGUAGGGGAGAAUGGAAUUCCCGGUGUAGCGGUGAAAUGCGCAGAUAUCGGGAGGAACACCGGUGGCGAAGGCGGUUCUCUGGGCCUUACCUGACGCUGAGGAGCGAAAGCGUGGGGAGCGAACAGG